rnacentral:lncRNA from 1 species
CCACGCAGCCACUCACUCACUGCUCCAUCCUGCUGGUGGGGGAGAGAAUCAGAAGAGUGAAGUUGGAAAAUUUCUGGACUGAGAUAAAGAGAGUUUAGUAGAUAAAGCAAAAUCUGCAUGCAUGCAAGGAAGGCAAAGCAAGGAAUUCAUUCAGCACUUACUAUGGGCAGGCAGGUAUUUAUUUACCCCGAUGAAAGCAGGGCUCCAUCACGUGUAGAAGUGACUUGGGAAUUAAAAUGCUGUUAUUCCAAAAUGUACCCUUUUCCUACUUCUUUCCCAGCUUUAUCUGCAGAGCAUAAUGCUAUAUAGUAUGGGAUAUACCUAUGGUCAGUAGAGGUCAGCUGUCCCAGAGGUGUUCCCCUCAAACUCCUUGGGUACCUCCAGGCCACUCACUGAUUGGUUGGGAUGAGGAGAAGAAAAGUCCUUGUCUUUGUGUAAGCCCUGCUCAGCAAUAGCAGAAACAUCUCUGUGUUAUCAGCACUGUUUCCAACACAAAUUCAAACCUUACCAUCAUACAAGCACUGUGAGGAAAAUUAUCUCUACCCCAGCCAAACCCAGCACAGUACGUUACAACCAUGUAAUAGCACCAACAAACAUUUGGAACCUUCAGUGUUCUCCAUGGUCCAUUGUGCAGGGUGUCACAGGGUGCAGUGGUUCCCUGGUGGCUGGAGGUCCCCAGGGUCUGUUGGGGCAGGGCCAAGUCCUGUGAUGUAGCCCCUCACGGAGCACAGAGUGGUUUACUGGUUUCGUCAAGAGCCCUGAGAGCCAAAACCUCAAAGGCAGCACUGGUGCAGUCUCUGUAUUGCCCAAAGAGAGAUGUACACAGGGACCUUCUGGUAUGAAAACUUCAUCUGGCAGCUCUGCAAAAGGUGUCAGGCAAAGGAGAAAAAGGUGCUAGGAAAUCCUGCACCUGUGGAUGUAGCUGCCUUCUCCAGCACAACCUAUGUAUUGUCUGCUGUCAAGCUCAGGGGCAAACAGCUGGCAGGUUGUCACCACACUUCUGAGGGCCCCAGGAGAGCCCCAGAGUUCCAGGGACCCAGUUGUGUGGCACUGCCCAGAUGCUACGAGAUGUCACACUUCAAGGAUUUUUAUGCACAGCAAAAUUCUACAUAUGGCAAAAGGCAAAGGAGGAACUCAUCUGCCAUCUCUGCUGAAGGCUGUCAACACCAGUAGAAGAGACCUUGUACAGCCCAUGUAGAAGAGACCUUGGUGCUCAAUACACAAGAUGAGUAAUGCUUACACUGAAAGCUGUUGAUAAGAAAGUAAAGGUAUUUAAGCAGUCAAGUGAGCAAACAAUCUGCAAGCUAUUGAAUAUCUUCUUGUCAGAAUAAAUGAUGGAGUAGUUCAAGGCUGAGAAACA